GUAGGUGWACCUGCGGAAGGAUCAUUG
rnacentral:rRNA from 1 species